GGUAAUAUUCCUUCAAUGGUGGUAAUUGCUUCUUCUUUUGCAGCUCAGAGGCAAGGGAGGAGGUACAAUGCCUAGAGCAAAUGAGAUGUUCAGGGCAGAUUCAAGAAUGAUGGUGGCCUUUGGUGCCUUGACAUCAAAACCCCAGCAGCUGACAUUUGAAGAUUCGCUCAGAUUUGUGAAGAAAGUGAAGGCCCGCGAUUACAUGUUGUAUUUGUCACUAUUUGACAUUCUCGGAAGAAUGGAACUGUCCCAGCUUGAUGCCUACCAAGAGUUACAGCUGCUAUUUCGAAAUCAUCCAGAUUUGUGUGAAGAGCUUGAGAAGUUCAGACCACCUGUGCGUAUAAAGCACGCAACAAACAACAUCUGGCCCUGGGUUAUCGUGUGUGCCGUCCCAUUGGUUGCAGUCAGCCUAAUCCCAGCGCUUGGAAACCCAGUACUGUGGUUCGUUCAACAAACUAUUGGCGAAAAGAUGGCCGCGUGAUUGAAGCUCCAGUGCGGUACAUACAUAUGUAGUUACCUCCAAUUAUUGGCCCCAUCAUGAUCAAAUUAAUAUAGUCUUUAUAUAUAUGUAUAUAGUUAGUUAGACUGGCAUUGUGGAAGGAAAUUGGUGUUCUUGGUGAUCAAAGUAUCACUUGCAAGAAAUUUAGUCGGUACUUGCAUUGGGGGGUGCAACCGUGCAAGCCUUACCUGAACAUUACUCAUCUCCAUUUAGACUGGGUUUAAGUGCUAAAUCAAACUUCCAUGGCAUCCCUCUGUUUCCUGCUAUAACUAAGACAGGUGCUGUUGUUAUGCUGUGAGUUAUGGGUACGCCUCCUGCUUAUUCCAUCAAUGGUAUGAUCAAACAUGGACGUACAUAUGUGUAUGUUGGAUUCACACAUGGAGAAAUUCUGUUAAGCAGUGCCUGUGCAAUGAGUUGUUAAGGAGUGCUGUAUCGGAUAACGGAAUAAGUUGCCCUGUAAAUGACUUGUGGGGCUCCAUA